rnacentral:lncRNA from 1 species
GGCCCCGGCCUUCGGGCGGUUAUUUUUGGGCGCGGCUUUGCCCGCGGCCUAUUUUUGGCAUACGGAGGCCCCUCGCAAAGGCUCGCGGCAUUCCGAGUCCGGCGGAUGAAGUGGGCCAGCCCCAUCCCCCAAGGCUAUAGCCCACCCGUUUUUGUGGCCUUUUUUCGCUGGACGAACUUGGUGCCCCGGCCUUCGGGCGGUUAUUUUUGGGCGCGGCUUUGCCCGCGGCCUAUUUUUGGCAAAUGGAGGCCCCUCGUAAAGUCUCGCGGCAUUCCGAGUCCGGCGGACGAAGUUGGCCAGCCCCACCCCCCAAGGCUAUAGCCCGCCCGUUUUUGUGGCCUUUUUCCGCUGGACGAACUUGAUGCCUCGGACUUCGGGCGGUUAUUUUUGGGCGCGGCUUUGCCCGCGGCCUAUUUUCUGCACACGGAGGCCCCUCGCAAAGUCUCACGGCAUUCCAAGCCCGGCGGACGAAGUUGGCCAGCCCCACCCCCCAAGGCUAUAGCCCACCCGUUUUUGUGGCCUUUUUCCGCUGGACGAACUUGGCGCCCCGGCCUUCGGGCGGUUAUUUUUGGGCGCGGCUUUGCCCGCGGCCUAUUUUGGGCACACGGAGGCCCCUCAAAAAUUCUCGCGGCAUUCCGAGUCCGGCGGACGAAGUUGGCCAUCCCCACCCCCCAACGCUAUAGCCCACCCGUUUUUGUGGCCUUUUUCCGCUGGACGAACUUGGCGCCCCGGCCUUCAGGCGGUUAUUUUUGGGCGCGGAUUUGCCCGCGGCCUACUUUUGNNNNNNNNNNNNNNNNNNNNNNNNNNNNNNNNNNNNNNNNNNNNNNNNNNNNNNNNNNNNNNNNNNNNNNNNNNNNNNNNNNNNNNNNNNNNNNNNNNNNNNNNNNNNNNNNNNNNNNNNNNNNNNNNNNNNNNNNNNNNNNNNNNNNNNNNNNNNNNNNNNNNNNNNNNNNNNNNNNNNNNNNNNNNNNNNNNNNCCGCAAAGUCUCGCGGCAUUCCGAGUCCGGCAGACGAAGUUGGCCAGCCCCACCCCCCAAGGCUAUAGCCCACCCGUUUUUGUGGCCUUUUUCCGCUGGACGAACUUGGCGCCCCGGCCUUCGGGCGGUUAUUUUUGGGCGUAGCUUUGCCCGCAGCCUAUUUUUGGCACAAGGAGGCCCCUCGCAAAGUCUCGCGGCAUUCAGAGUCCGACGGAUGAAGUCGGCCAGCCCCACCUCCCAAGGCUAUAGCCCACCCGUUUUUGUGGCCUUUUUCCGCUGGACGAACUUGGCGCCCCGGCCUUCGGGCAGUUAUUUUUGGGAGCGGAUUUGCCCGUGGCCUAUUUUCUGCACACAGAGGCCCCUCGCAAAGUCUCACGGCAUUCCGAGUCCGGCGGACGAAGUUGGCCAGCCCCACUCCCCAAGGCUAUAGCCCACACAUUUUUGCGGGCUUUUUCCGCUGGACGAACUUGGCGCCCCGGCCUUCGCGCGGUUAUUUUUGGGUGCGGCUUUGCCCGCGGCCUACGUUUGGCACACGGAGGCCGCUCGAAAAGUCUCGGGGCAUUCCGAGUCCGGCGGACGAAGUUGGCCAUUCCCACCCCCCAAGGCUAUAGCCAAACCGUUUUUGUGGCCUUUUUCCGCUGGACGAACUUGGCGCCCCGGCCUUCGGGCGGUUAUUUUUGGGCGCGGCUUUGCCCGUUUCCUAUUUUUGGCACACGGAGGCCCCUCGCAAAGUCUCGCGGCAUUCCGAGUCCGGCGGACGAAGUUGGCCAGCCACACCCCCCAAGGCUAUAGCCCACCCGUUUUUGUGGCCUUUUUCCGCUGGACGAACUUGGCGCCCCGGCCUUCGGGCGGUUAUUUUUGGGCUCGGCUGUGCCCAUGUCCUGUUUUUGGCACACGGAGGCCCCUCGGAAAGUCUUGCGCCAUUCCGAGUCCGGCGGACGAAGUUGGCCAGCCCCACCCCCGAAGGCUGUAGCCCACACUUUUUUGUGGCCUUUUUCCGCUGGACGAACUUGGCGCCCCGGCCUUCGGGCAGUUAUUUUUGGGCGCGGCUGUGCCCGUGUCCUAUUUUUGGCACACGGAGGCACCUCGCAAAGUAUCGCGCCAUUCCGAGUCCGGCGGACGAAGUUGGCGAGCCCCACCCCCCAAGGCUAUAGCCCACCCGUUUUUCUGGCCUUUUUCCGCUGGACGAACUUGGCGCCCCGGCCUUCGGAAGGUUAUUUUUGGUCGCGGCUGUGCCCGCGGCCUAUUUUUGGCACACAGAGGCGCCUCGCAAAGUCUCGCGCCAUUCCGAGUCCGGCGGACGAAGUUGGCCAGCCCCACCCCCCAAGGCGACAGCCCACCCGUUUUUGUGGCCUUUUUCCGCUGGACGAACUUGGCUCCCCGGCCUUCGGGCGGUUAUUUUUGGGCGUAGCUGUGCCCGCAACCUGUUUUUGGCACACGGAGGUGCCUCGUAAAGUCUCGUGCCAUUCCGAGUCCGGCGGACAAAGUUGGCCGGCCCCACCGCCCAAGGCUAUAGCCCACCCGUUUUUGUGGCCUUUUUCCGUUGGACGAACUUGGCGCCCCGGCCUUCGGGCGGUUAUUUUUGGGCGCAGCUGUGCCCGCAGCCUGUUUUUGGCACAUGGAGGUGCCUCGCAAAGUCUCGCGCCAUUCUGAGUCCGGCGGACAAAGUUGGCCGGCCCCACCGCCCAAGGCUAUAGCCCACCCAUUUUUGUGGCCUUUUUCCGCUGCACGAACUCUGCGCCCCGACCUUCGGACGGUUAGUUUUGGUCGUGGCUGUGCCCACGGCCUAUUUUUAGCCCACGAAGGCGCCUCGCAAAGUCUCGCGCCAUUCCGAGUCCGGCGGACGAAGUUGGCCAGCCCCACCCCCGAAGGCUGUAGCCCACACUUUUUUGUGGCCUUUUUCCGCUGGACGAACUUGGCGCCCCGGCCUUCGGGAGUUUAUUUUUGGGCGCGGCUGUGCCCGCGGCCUAUUUUUUUUACACGGAGGUGCCUCGCAAAGGCUCGUGCCAUUCCGAGUCCGGCGGAAGAAGUCGGCCGGCCACACCCCCCAAGGCUAUAGCCCACCCGUUUUUGUGGCCUUUUUCCCCUGGACGAACUUGGCGCCCCAGCCUUCGGGCGGUUAUUUUUGGGCGCGGCUUUGCCGACGGCCUAUUUUUGGCACACGUAGGCCCCUCGCAAAGUCUCGCGGCAUUCCGAGUCCGGCGGACGAAGUUGGCCAGCCCCACCCCCCAAGGUUAUAGCCCACCCGUUUUUGGGCCCUUUUUCCGCUGGACGAACUUGGCCCCCCGGCCUUCGGGCGGUUAUUUUUGUGCGCGGCUGUGCCCGCGGCCUAUUUUUAGCACACGGAGACCCCUCAAAAAGUCUCGCGCCAUUCCGAGUCCGGCGGACGAAGUUGGCGCUGGACGAACUUGGCGCCCCGGCCUUCGGGCGGUUAUUUUUGGGGGUGGCUGUGUCCACGGCCUAUUUUUGGCACACGGAGGUGCCUCGUAAAGUCUAGCGCCAUUCCGAGCCGGGCGGACGAAGUUGGCCAGCCCCACCCCCCAAGGCUAUAGCCCACCCGUUUUUGUGGGCUUUUUCCGCUGGGCGACUUGGCGUCCCGGCCUUCGGGCGGUUAUUUUUGGGCGCGGCUGUGCCCGCGGCCUAUUUUUGGCACACGGAGGGGCCUCGUAAAGUCUCGCGCCAUUCCGAGUCGGGCGGACGAAGUUGGCCAGCCCCAACCCCAAAGGCUAUAGCCCACCCGUUUUUGUGGCCUUUUUCCGCUGGACGAACAUGGCGCCCCGCCUUCGGGUGGUUAUUUUUGGGCGCGGCUGUGCCCGCGACCUAUUUUUGGCACACGGAGGUGCCUCGCAAAGUCUCGCGCCAUUCCGAGUGCUGCGGACGAAUUUGGCCAGCCCCACCCCCCAAGGCUAUAGCCCACCCGUUUUUGUGGCCUUUUUCCGCUGGACGAACUUGGCGCCCCGGCCUUCGGGCGGUUAUUUUUGGGCGCGGCUGUGCCCGCGGCCUAUUUUUGGCACACGGAGGUGCCUCGCAGAGUCUCACGCCAUUCCGAGUCCGGCGGACGAAGUCGGCCCGCCCCACCCCCCAAGGUUAUAGCCCACCCGUUUUUGUGGCCUUUUUCCGCUGGACGAACUUGGCGCCCCGGCCUUCGGGCGGUUAAUUUUGGGCGCGACUGUACCCGCGGCCUAUUUUUGGCACACGGACGCGCCUCGCCAAGUCUCGCGCCAUUCCGAGUCCGGCGGACGAUGUUGGCCAGCCCCACCCCCCAAGGCUAUAGCCCACCCGUUUUUGUGGCCUUUUUCCGCUGGAUGAACUUGGCGCCCCGGCCCCCGGGCUGUUAUUUUUGGGCGCGGCUUUUUCCGCGGACUAUUUUUGGCACACGGAGGACCAUCGCAAAGUCUCACGGUAUUCCGAGUCGGGCGGACAAAGUUGGCCAGCCCCACCCCCCAAGGCUAUAGCCCACCCGUUUUUGUGGCCUUUUUCCGCUGGACAAACUUGGCGCCCCGGCCUUCGGGCGGUUUUUUUUUGGCACGGUUGUGCGCGCGGCCUAUUUUUGGCAGACGGAGGCGGCUCGCAAAGUCUCGCGCCAUUCCGAGUGCUGCGGACGAAUUUGGCCAGCCCCACCCCCCAAGGCUAUAGCCCGCCCGUUUUUGUGGCCUUUUUCCGCUGGACGAACUUGGCGCCCCGGCCUUCGGGCGGUUAUUUUUGGGCGCGGCUGUGCCCGCGGCCUAUUUUUGGCACACGGAGGCGCCUCGCAGAGUCUCAUGCCAUUCCGAGUCCGGCGGACGAAGUCGGCCCGCCCGACCCCCCAAGGUUAUAGCCCACCCGUUUUUGUGGCCUUUUUCCGCUGGACGAACUUGGCGCCCCGGCCUUCGGGCGGUUAUUUUUGGACGCGCCUGUACCCGCGGCCUAUUUUUGGCACACGGAGGCGCCUCGCCAAGUCUCGCGCCAUUCCGAGUCCGGCGGACGAUGUUGGCCAGCCCCACCCCCCAAGCCUAUAGCCAACCCGUUUUUGUGGCCUUUUUCCACUCGACGAACUUGGCGCCCCUGCCGUCGGGCGGUUAUUUUUGGGCGCGGCUGUACCAGCGGCCUAUUUUUGGCACACGGAGGCACCUCGCAAGGUCUCUCGCCAUUCCGAGUCCGGCGGACGAAGUUGGCCAGCCCCACCCCCCAAGGCUAUAGCCCACCCGUUUUUGUGGCCUUUUUCCUCUGGACGAACUUGGCGCCCCGGCCUUCGGGCGAUUAUUUUUGGGCGUGGCUGUGCCCGCGGCCUAUUUUUGGUACAAGGAGGCCCCUCGCAUAGGCUCGC